GACGGAGGGGGCUAGCGUUGUUCGGAAUUACUGGGCGUAAAGCGCACGUAGGCGGCCUUUCAAGUCAGAUGUGAAAGCCCCGAGCUUAACUCGGGAACUGCAUUUGAUACUGUUGGGCUUGAGACCGGGAGAGGAUAGCGGAAUUCCCAGUGUAGAGGUGAAAUGCGCAGAUAUCAGGAAGAACACCCGUGGCGAAAGCGGCUCUCUGGAACGGUAC
rnacentral:rRNA from 1 species